rnacentral:rRNA from 1 species
AUUGAACGCUGGCGGCAUGCCUUGCACAUGCAAGUCGAACGGUAACAGGUUAAGCUGACGAGUGGCGAACGGGUGAGUAAUAUAUCGGAACGUGCCCCGUCGUGGGGGAUAACGCAGCGAAAGCUGUGCUAAUACCGCAUACGAUCUAUGGAUGAAAGCGGGGGAUCGCAAGACCUCGCGCGAUUGGAGCGGCCGAUAUCAGAUUAGCUAGUUGGUGGGGUAAAGGCCCACCAAGGCGACGAUCUGUAGCUGGUCUGAGAGGACGACCAGCCACACUGGAACUGAGACACGGUCCAGACUCCUACGGGAGGCAGCAGUGGGGAAUUUUGGACAAUGGGCGAAAGCCUGAUCCAGCAAUGCCGCGUGCAGGACGAAGGCCUUCGGGUUGUAAACUGCUUUUGUACGGAACGAAACGGUUCUCUCUAAUACAGGGGGCUAAUGACGGUACCGUAAGAAUAAGCACCGGCUAACUACGUGCCAGCCGCCGCGGUAACAC